rnacentral:rRNA from 1 species
AUUGAACGCUGGCGGCAGGCUUAACACAUGCAAGUCGAGCGGAGAUGAGGUGCUUGCACCUUAUCUUAGCGGCGGACGGGUGAGUAAUGCUUAGGAAUCUGCCUAUUAGUGGGGGACAACAUUCCGAAAGGAAUGCUAAUACCGCAUACGCCCUACGGGGGAAAGCAGGGGAUCUUCGGACCUUGCGCUACUAGAUGAGCCUAGGUAGGAUUAGCUAGUUGGUGGGGUAAAGGCCUACCAAGGCGACGAUCUGUAGCGGGUCUGAGAGGAUGAUCCGCCACACUGGGACUGAUACACGACCCAGACUCCUACGGGCGGCAGCAGUGGGGAAUAUUGGACAAUGGGCGGAAGCCUGAUCCAGCCAUGCCGCGUGUGUGAAGAAGGCCUUUUGGUUGUAAAGCACUUUAAGCGAGGAGGAGGCUACCUGGAUUAAUACUCUAGGAUAGUGGACGUUACUCGCAGAAUAAACACCGGCUAACUCUGUGCCAGCCGCCGCGGUAAGAC